ACCUGGUUGAUCCUGCCAGUAGUCAUAUGCUUGUCUCAAAGAUUAAGCCAUGCAUGUCUAAGUAUAAAUAGUAUACAGUAAAACUGCGAACGGCUCAUUAAAACAGUUAUAGUUUAUUUGAUAAUGAAAAAUUACAUGGAUAACCGUGGAAAUUCUAGAGCUAAUACAUGCAUUAAAGCGUGACUCCAAGAGACGCUGUAUUUAUUAGAUAUAAGCCAAUCUCGUUAAGAGUUGAGGUGAAUCAUAGUAACUGAUCGAAUCCUAAAGUUAGGAUACGUCAUUCAAGUUUCUGCCCUAUCAGCUUUUGAUGGUAGUGUAUUGGACUACCAUGGCAGUCACGGGUAACGGAGAGUUAGGGUUCGAUUCCGGAGAGGGAGCCUGAGAAACGGCUACCACAUCUACGGAAGGCAGCAGGCGCGUAAAUUACCCAAUCCUGACUCAGGGAGGUAGUGACAAGAAAUGACAACCUAUGUGCUUUUGCACUGUGGAUUGUAAUGAGGGUAAUGUAAAAUACUAGCCGAGGAACAAUUGGAGGGCAAGUCUGGCGCCAGCAGCCGCGGUAAUUCCAGCUCCAAUAGCGUAUAUUAAAGUUGUUGCAGUUAAAAAGCUCGUAGUUGAAUUUCUAGGUUUAGGUGGCUCUUUUAGUAGUCUUCUUGGUCUAUCCGGCAUUGAACUUAGACGGUAAUUUAUUUUACUUCUGAGCGAACUGCCAUUUUACUUUGAAAAAAUUAGAGUGUUUCAGGCAGGCUAUGGCUCGAAUAUCUUAGCAUGGAAUAAUGGAAUAGGACUUUGCUUCAUUUGAUUGGUUAUUGAAUCAGAGUAAUGAUUAAUAGGGACAGUUGGGGGCGUUAGUAUUUAAUUGUCAGAGGUGAAAUUCUUGGAUUUAUUAAAGACUAACUUAUGCGAAAGCAUUUGCCAAGGAUGUUUUCAUUAAUCAAGAACGAAAGUUAGGGGAUCAAAGACGAUCAGAUACCGUCCUAGUCUUAACUAUAAACUAUACCGACUCAGGAUUGGUAGAGCCUAAGUGCUCUAUCAGCACUGUAUGAGAAAUUAAAGUCUUUGGGUUCUGGGGGGAGUAUGGUCGCAAGGCUGAAACUUAAA
rnacentral:rRNA from 1 species